AAAGCAGGUUGGGUGGUCGCUCUGCUGGAUAGGCCAGUGGGGAGGAAAGUCCGAGCUCCGCAGGGCAGGGUGGUCGGUAACACCGACGGGCAGUGAUGCCACGGAAAGUGCCACAGAAAAUAUACCGCCCCGUGAGAUAUGGAUAGUCGUUCUCUCACGAGGUAAGGGUGAAAAGGCGAGGUAAGAGCUCACCGUUCCGAUGGUGACAUCGGAAGCAUGGUAAACCCCACCCGGAGCAAGGCCAAAUAGGAGAGGAGAGGUGGCCCGCCUCGUUUUCCACUCUCGGGUAGGCCGCUUGAUCCCUGUGGCAACAUAGGGACCAGAUGAAUGUCCACCCUCGACAGAACUCGGCUUAUAGGCCUGCUUUGGCU
rnacentral:RNase_P_RNA from 3 species